rnacentral:rRNA from 1 species
UACGGAAGGCAGCAGUGGGGAAUAUUGCACAAUGGGCGCAAGCCUGAUGCAGCCAUGCCGCGUGUAUGAAAAAGGCCUUCGGGUUGUAAAGUACUUUCAGUCGUGAGGAAGGUGUUAAGGUUAAUAACCUUAGCAAUUGACGUUAGCGACAGAAGAAGCACCGGCUAACUCCGUGCCAGCAGCCGCGGUAAUACGGAGGGUGCGAGCGUUAAUCGGAAUUACUGGGCGUAAAGGGCACGCAGGCGGUUAAUUAAGUUGGAUGUGAAUCCCCGGGCUUAACCUGGGAAUGGCAUUCAAGACUGGUUAGCUAGAGUCUUGUAGAGGGGGUUAGAAUUCCAUGUGUAGCGGUGAAAUGCGUAGAGAUGUGGAGGAAUACCGGUGGCGAAGGCGGCCCCUGGACAAAGACUGACGCUCAUGUGCGAAAGCGUGGGGAGCAAACGAGGGAUUAGAUACC